rnacentral:rRNA from 1 species
CCAGACUCCUACGGGAGGCAGCAGUGGGGAAUAUUGCACAAUGGGGGGAACCCUGAUGCAGCGACGCCGCGUGGGUGAAGGAGUAUUUCGGUAUGUAAAGCCCUAUCAGCAGGGAAGAACAAUGACGGUACCUGACUAAGAAGCACCGGCUAAAUACGUGCCAGCAGCCGCGGUAAUACGUAGGGGGCAAGCGUUAUCCGGAUUUACUGGGAGUAAAGGGAGCGUAGGCGGUUUAGCAAGUCAGAAGUGAAAGCCCGGGGCUCAACUCCGGGACUGCUUUUGAAACUGUUGAACUAGAUUGCAGGAGAGGUAAGUGGAAUUCCUAGUGUAGCGGUGAAAUGCGUAGAUAUUAGGAGGAACACCAGUGGCGAAGGCGGCUUACUGGACUGUAAAUGACGCUGAGGCUCGAAAGCGCGGGUAGCGAACGGGAUUAGAUACCCCUGUAG